GAAUACGAAUGCUGUGCUAUUAACAACCUGAACAAACCUCCAUUUUGUAAGAGUAUCUUGGUAACCGUCCAGUGUGAGUCUAACUGCUUUUUUUAAGCUAAAAUGAAGGGGUGAGGGAAGCUGCAAGAUGAGCCACAAAUAGAUGUAUUUCAGUCAAAUGACACAGUUUCUUCAUAUAAUGAUGGUAAAAUCAGGGUAUACUGUUUGGCCCAUGGCGUGCCCUAUCCUCAGUUCACGUGGUAUGAUCCCCAUAAUCAAUCAAUAUCUACAGGAUCUCAUACUGUUACUGCAUGGUGUUGGUGUCUUGGAACUAGUAACCAUUGACGCAGACAGCUAUGGAUUGUACAAAUGUAAAGCAGAAAAUUUACUUGGUUAUGAUGAACACAUUAUCAAUGUCACCCAAACAGCUCUUCCUACUUCUACGGUACCAUCGGAAAAUAAACGCCAUGCAAAAGGCUCAAUAUCAAGAGCUAACCGAGUCCAUCCACCCUCUCUGAUGCCAAGUAG
rnacentral:lncRNA from 1 species